UAGCACUGGCAAGUGACCCAUUGGACACUCCAUUGACCAAAUGGGCAUCGAGCAGUGCAAAACCAAAACCCUCCAAAAGCUGGGAGAGUCACACUGUGGAUUACUCCCGCAUUCAGGUGGGUACAAAA